rnacentral:tRNA from 1 species
GGGAAUGUGGCUUAGUGGUAGAGCGCUUGCCUAGUACGUAUGAAGCCCUGAGUUUGAUUCUUCAGUACCA